rnacentral:lncRNA from 1 species
CCUGGAGCAGUCGCAGCCGCCCGCCCGGCGGCCUGGGUCUCAUUACGGCCGGCCCUUAUCGCGGCGUGCAUCACAUUAUUUCAUUUCAAAGAAUCCACAGAGAAGCCCGUCCCCGGUCGACAACAGAAAGUAAAAACACAGCUGACUCCCAUUAGGGCCCUCUCACAGGCUCCGCGUGAGCUGCUGAUGGAUUCUGCAGAUGCAGCCAGCAUCCUCCUAUGGCUCCUUGAGUCCUGGGAGUCUCAAUCAGACCUGUCUUCACUGUGCCCACCCUGCUCUUCAGUUGCUCCUCUAGGACUGGAGGAAGAGGCCUCUCCUACAGGAACAGUACAGAAGGAUAAUCGCUUGCCUACCUCCUCCAGCUCCUGGC